rnacentral:rRNA from 1 species
AGAUUGAACGCUGGCGGCAUGCCUAACACAUGCAAGUCGAACGGGAGUAGCAAUACUCUAGUGGCGGACGGGUGAGGAAUACGUAGGAAUUUGCCCUUAAGUGGGGGAUAACCCGGGGAAACCCGGAUUAAUACCGCAUGACCUCGAAAGAGCAAAGUGGGGGAUCGCAAGACCCCACGCUUUUGGAGAAGCCUACGUCGGAUUAGCUAGUUGGUGAGGUAAUGGCUCACCAAGGCGACGAUCCGUAACUGGUCUGAGAGGAUGAUCAGUCACACCGGAACUGAGACACGGUCCGGACUCCUACGGGAGGCAGCAGUGGGGAAUAUUGGACAAUGGGCGCAAGCCUGAUCCAGCAAUGCCGCGUGUGUG